GGGGGUAUAGCUCAGUGGUAGAGCAUUCAACUGCAGAUCGAGAGGGCACCAGUUCAAACGCGGUUGCACCCU
rnacentral:tRNA from 1 species